rnacentral:rRNA from 1 species
GCACAAGCGGUGGAUGAUGUGGAUUAAUUCGAUGCAACGCGAAAACCUUACUACCCUUGACAUGUCUGGAACCUUGGUGAGAGCCGAGGGUGCCUUCGGGAGCCAGAACACAGGUGCUGCAUGGCUGUCGUCAGCUCGUGUCGUGAGAUGUUGGGUUAAGUCCCGCAACGAGCGCAACCCUUGUCACUAGUUGCCAUCAUUUGGUUGGGCACUCUAGUGAGACUGCCGGUGACAAACCGGAGGAAGGUGGGGAUGACGUCAAGUCCUCAUGGCCCUUAUGGGUAGGGCUUCACACGUCAUACAAUGGUCGGUACAGAGGGUUGCCAACCCGCGAGGGGGAGCUAAUCCCACAAAGCCGAUCGUAGUCCGGAUCGCAGUCUGCAACUCGACUGCGUGAAGUCGGGAUCGCUAGUAAUCGUGGAUCAGCAUGUCACGGUGAAUACGUUCCCGGGUCUU